rnacentral:lncRNA from 10 species
ACCCCAUGCCCUCUGCCAGGACUCAGCUGCACUUUUAGUCAUUCACUCAUAAAUCAUUUAUUGAAUACUUGCAAGUCAUGGACUCUAGGCCUGUCUUCCAGAGGAUAUCUGUAAAACCGGGGGAAGGGUCCUUCCCUGAUAAGACUACCCAUAAAGUGCUUAGCCCUUGUGGGAGCACACAGAUCUUGAGCUGCUGCUGACAUCAUGAUCAUUUUGGAGGUGUACAGUCUAGAGAGCCUACACUCCAGAGCUUAGCUCUGCCUGCACUCUAUGUUGGCCCUGGAGCUCCUAGAGCAGAGAUUCUUCACCAGCCUCAGCCCCAGCCCCUCUCCUCAGGCAGCUUCUCCUGCAGAGCUGUGCCAGGGUCUGGCUCUUUCCCUUAUAUUUCUGGCUUUAGGUAGCAUGAGUCUUGUUUGCUCCCUGCCUCCAAACUCAGGCCUUGGUCAGACCUCCCAGGAGCCCUCUGUGGGAACCAGGUGGGCUUCUCUACCUACUACCUCCUGCUGGUAGCCUCUGGCCUGAAAGGGCUGGGGAGGGGAUAGCUCCUCAGGGUGGUCCUUUGGCCCAAAGCACCUCCUGGGAGCCGGUUAGAAAUGCAGAUUCUUGGCCCUGCCCCAUACUUACUGAAGGAGAAUGUGCAUUCUAACAAGAUCCCCAGAUGAUUCACAAGCAAGUUAAAGUUUGAGAAGCGCUGCUCCAGGGCCUGCUGGCCUGGAAGGCACCAGAGGAAAAUGGAAGCUUGGUCUUCAGGAAAUGCCCAAGGAGCCACCUCCAGGUUCAGGGCCUUAACUCUUCCUGCUUCUGGAGAACUCUCUUGUCCCUGCCUUUAGGGGCCUCUCCCUCUCCCCAAGAAAAGUGGUCUCACUGAAGUUUACCAGGUUCAAGUAUCUGCAGAUAGUAUCAGGGGACUUGACUGGCUCAGCUGUGGGUCCCUUGUGCCCAGCAGAGAGUAGGUGUUUAACUCUGCUUAUGAACUGCAAAACAGUAUUUGCAAUUGGAACACGAUAGCAGUAACGAGGUAAGAACUGAUUUGGGCGCCACUUCCUUGAGAGGGAGUUUCCAGCCCUCUCUGCAAGCAGAAGUGGAUACUUGCGUCAAGGAUGCUGUGGAAGUGCCCCCUACUUUGAUGUAGUAAGAUUCCUGAACCCUCUUCCCAUGAAAGCACUGACACAGGAUGGCAAAUAUAUGGGACACACAUGACCAUCCCCCUUUCCCACACCCUUGGUAGACAUUAAUAAUUGAUUACAGCUGACUUUCUGGCAUGACCUUAGAAUCCUUGACUACAGGGCACCCCAGGGAGCCACUAUCAAUUGAUCAGACAUGGCACUAUUUGUGAUCUCUGCCUCGGGUCUCCCCCCUGGGAGCUGCCCUCUACAGAUCAGGCCAGAUGAGACAAGGCCGCCAGGCUAGUUCCCAAGGACAUCCUCCUCCCUGCAAACCCGAGUGCCUGUGCGACUGCACCUUGUGAAGCCCCCUCUGGAAACGGCCCUCCCCAGCUGUUGAGUAAAGUGCAGCUUCAGAUCUGUCUUUGCCCACACGGGUCCUUCUCACUAGGGGUCAAGGUCAUGUAAGUGGCUCAUCAUGGUGGCCUCUGUGCAGCUCCUCACACCCUGUGUAACUUGGAAUCAGGCACCCACCUCUUCUGGUUUGUCACCCUGUCAAAUGGGAAUGUCCCCAACUGUCAUGCACUGUGUGCCACUCACACAGUGGACAUGAGGACGGCCUAGGAGGUGCCCCCACAUCAGUGCUAAUACUUCCUGCCUGGCAUGAUGCCCUUCGCCUGACUCUGGAGGGCUCCCUCUGCAUAGCUCUGCUCCCUGGGAACCUGAGACUAGUGUUUCCCUGUUCACAGCCAGUGAGGCCUAUGUGCUGGAGUCGAGGCAGGAGUGCAGCUGUGAUACUGGCUGCUCCCCCUGCAUCCAGGCCCCAGUAAACUCCAUCUCGGGGCUUCCCAUGGUGGGUGGGGUGCACUGCAGCAUCCUGCCCCCUAGCACUGCCCCUGCUCCACCCCACUCCCUGCCCAUGGUCCACUCAGCCCCAGCACAGGACUUUCUCCAGAACUACACCCACAUCAGCAGGGAGGAGUCAUUUUCUGCUGCUGGUUUUCAGGUCUGUGAAUCAGAACUGGCUCCUCCAAGAGGCAUCUACACACACACACACACACACACACACACACAAACACACACACACACCCCAACCCCUACCACUAACUUCCUUCUGCUGUCUAAAUCCAGAUUUCAGGUCUGAGGCAAAGUGUCUAUGUGUAAGUUUUGGCUAGGCAUGGUGUCCUCCAUGCCAGGUGAGUAUGGGCAUAUGUCCUCUCCCUAGUCCAUGCAGCCAGGAGCUCUGUGCUGUUUGCUUCUGUAACUUCAGCACCCAAAUGGUGCCUGGCACGACAGGUACUCAGUGCACAUGCGCUGAACACCUUAGCUACAGGACUAGUUCCACGCCAGCAAGGUGAAGGGAUGGAACCCCCUGCCCUGGGUGUGCAUGACUCCUGCUUCCCAUCACUCCACAACUGGACAGCCAGAGACUCAGCCCAGUCAUCUCAGCCUCCCCACCCCCCACCUCCUGACACCUUGACUCCCUUCUGGCCUCAACCCCACAAUGCUCUCAAGAGCAGAGAGGUUAUUCCAUGCCUGCACCCUCCUCCCUGGGUGAUAACAGCAAACACUGAACACAGAAUCUGUGCUGGGCCCUGUGUAAAGUGCUUUACAAAUCUCACUGAAUUCCUUUUUUAUUUUUUUAAUUAAAAAAAAAGUAGAGCUGGGGUCUCACUAUGUUACCCAGGCUGGUCUUAAAUGCCUAGGCUCAAGCGAUCCUCCCGCCUUGGUCUCCCAGUGCUGGGACUACAGGCUUGAGCCACCGCGCCUGGCCUCUGAAUUCUUUUAUUAACCUUACGAUGUAGGAAUUUUUAUCUUUUAUUCUUCAGUCUACAGAUGAGGGAACCGCCUCAGAAAGGUUAAUUAGCCCACUUGGGGCACUCGGCUAGCGUGCGGCACGCUAGGACUCAAGCUCAGCCCGUCUGCCUUCAGAACCAACCAUAUCCUCCACCACUGACUCCUUGAGAUCAAUCUCAUGGCCAAGUUCUUGACCAGCACCAACUUGGCCUGAUAAUUAUUAGUCUGUCUGACAUCUAUCUAUCUAUUGAUUCAGUCUCUGAACUCAGCCUAUGGUUCUGCUUCUUUGAAACCCAAACUCCUUACCCACUGGUCAGGUCCUGUCCUGAGCAUGUGUUAGGACAGGCUGGAGGGAGGUGGCCAACUCAGGCUUGGUUGUUUCUGCAGUGGGCUGGAGGGCGGACUUGGCUCCAUCAAUACCAUUUCCUCUACUGUGACAUCUCUGAGGCUGAGACUGCUGACCACAGGUGAGUCAAGCAUGUAAACGCAUUGUGAAGCCAAACAGAAGUAUCAUUUAGAAUAACCGUAAGUAGCUUUGGCCUCAUUUUGUUCUACGUAAUUGAGAACACAAAAUGUUAACACCACAGGAUCUGUCUUAGACCUGUGGCAUUCACGUGGCUGCAGGAGAGUGAGAUCUGCCCAAGUGGAGGGGGAGCUGGCCUAUCUCCCAGGCCCAGAUGACUCCUAUAGAUUGAAGCUGCCUGCUCACUGAAUUGCAUCAGUAUCACCUGAUCCAUAGCAGUGACUGGGCCCAGGGCCUAGAAUGACUCGAUUGAGCUGGGAUAAUAGGUCUGUAUUGCCUGGCUAGACACAGCCAAGGCCCUCAAGCAGCAGGGUGAGGGACCCUUGUCUCCUGCUGGCCUUGCCUAAGGUUCUGAGGCAGCUGUGAAGAGGUUGGGGGGGUAGGGGCUCUGAAGCCCCUAUCCUACCUUGUGUCAAUUCAAGCCCCAGGCACAGGCACUCUGGCAAAGAUACCUAGAGAUUGUAAGGUCCCAUCAUGUCGUCAGGACUAUUUCAGGGAAAAAAUGUCCUUUAAAAGACCCUGGCACCAAGAACAGCCCAAACUAUGGUGAUAGGGGUAAAAGUUGUUGCUUUCAGGGAUGCUGAUGUUCUACAGUCGAUCCAAAUGGUAGCUUCACUAUAUAUAUUCGCAAAAAUCCACAUAUGCUUAAGAUCUGUGCACUUCCCGUAACUUACACUUUAAUCUGAAGUGAGCAGGGUACCUUGAAGUCAGUGUCUCGUGCAGGCCUGGUCAGCUCUCCCUGUCCUGGAUGGCUGCUUUUUCCCAAAAGGGUGGGGCUUCAGCUGGUCAGUGCCCAGGGCUGGUGAGAACAAAGUCCCUAGUUUUGUGGCCACACGCUAGACUUGGAAUGCAGAGAGCCUUCUGAGAAGAGCCCCACCAGCCAUGAGAGGGCUUUGCUCAGUGAGUUCCCUCAACCAGACCCAUUGUUUAUCAGGUAAACUGUUGAAGUUGUCACCCUGUCCUCAAAACCUUCCUCACCUCCCUGGAAGAGCUUUCUCCUUUGAGUUCCUACACUUUAUUAAUUUAAUAAUGUAAUAGCCAUCUAUAGACCCACCUCCCAGACCAACACACAGAACAUUCCCAGUCACUUAUGUCUCCCCAGCAUCCUUCCUUAUCUCACCCCUGGGGUCCGCUGCCCCACCUGGAGGUGACCACCAUCCAGAUUUCUGUGUUUAUCAUCCCUUUGCUUUUAUGUUUUAUAUACAUAUAUGUGGGGUGUCCACAUGUCCCAGUUUACUGGAGAUAGUGUCAACUUACACUUGCAGUCCAAAUGUCAGAAUUUGUGUUCCUUUUUGCUCGCAAAAACAUCCCUAUUUGGACAAUAAAUUAAAUGAUCACCUAGAUACAUGUAUAUCUAAGCAACGUAUUUUUGGUUUUGAGCUUUAGAAUAAUGGUAUUAUAUGAUAUGAAGUUCUCUGAGAUGUGCUUUAUUCAUUCAACAUUAUUUCUGAGAUUUAUCCUUGCUUUGUGUGGCUACAGUUCAUUUUCAUUGCUGAGUAAUAUUCCAUUGUGUGAAUACCUUGCCAUGCCUGUAGUGUCUCAUUUCUGUUUGUAGGAACAAAGCUGCAGUGCCCAUUCUUGCAUAUGGGUCCUGGUGGUUUUUUUGCUUUUUUUUUGAGACGGAGUCUCACUCUGUUGCCCAGGCUGGAGUGCAGUGGCGCGAUCUAGGCUCACUGCAAGCUCCGCCUCCCGGGUUCACGCCAUUCUCCUGCCUCAGCCUCCCGAGUAGCUGGGACUACAGGUGCCCGCCACCAGGCCUGGCUAGUUUUUUUGUAUUUUUAGUAGAGACGGGGUUUCACCGUGUUAGCCAGGAAGAUCUUGAUCUCCUGACCUCAUGAUCCGCCCGCCUCGGCCUCCCAAAGUGCUGGGAUUACAGGCGCGAGCCACCGCGCCAGCCGGUGGGUUGUUCUUAACACAUGCAAAUAGCCCCUGGCCACAGAACCAGGAGGAAAUUGCUGGGUGAUGGGGCAUGGCCACUGUCAACUCCACAAGCUAAGGCCACAGCAUUUGUACAUACAUCAAUUACAUCAAUUAGGUCUUUCUAUCACCAACAUCUGUUCUCAGUAUACUGUGAGCCCCACGAGGCCAAAGAUAACUCUCCCUUUUUCUCCCAGCCCUUAGAACAGUGCCUGGAGCAGCUCAGGAAAUGCUAAAUGCCUGAAUGUUCAGGGGCUAUGGAUGGCUCAGGGCAGACUCAUUCCCAUCCUGGGGAAAGAAACCUCAAAGAUGUUGCUGCUGGCAGAGCCACAGGAGCAGCCCCAUUUUUGCAUGUGCUGGUUCCUGCAAUGGAUCUGCAGAAAUCCAGGGCACUGUCAACAUGCAGUGGUUAGAAAUAUCUGCCUGCUUGAGGGCUCUGGGCCCGUGACAGGAGUCACUCCUCCGCCCUGUGCAACGACACCCUAGCCUCCUUUGUCUGAACUGGGACCCCAGCUCACCCUGCAGGCCCCCGAGGGCCAGGCCUGCUGGGAUGGAUACCCUCCAAGGCGAAAGCCAUGACGGAGAGAAAAAUCAUAGGCCUGGGGCCGGGAGAUCUGUUUUCUAUUCCUGGCCCUGCCAUUAAUAAACUGGGUGACCUUGGGCAAGUCACUUUGUCUCCCUUCUCAUCCUAUAAAAUGAGUUUGGACAGUGAUAGCCAAUUCUUGAACUUGAGAACUCAUCAGAAUCGCCUAGGAAACUUGUUAAAGUGGAUCCCCAGGCCCCACCCCACGGGGAUUGGGGUAGUAGGUCUGGAGUGGCACUUAGAUACAUGUAUAUUUACAUGACAAUGAAUUUAAAAAGACCACUGAAAACACUCACAAAUGGUUAGAAAAUUCAAUAGUAGAGAUUAUAAUAAAAAGCAGCGCUUCCCAUCCCUAGUGUGCUACCUACAGGCAACCACUUUUAAUCAUGUUUUUGAUCUGAUGGUUACUAUCUUAUUGCUAAAUAAUAAGCUAGUUCUUGUUUUAUCAACUUCAGACAUUACCCAUUGUCUUCCUGCUAUGACAGAUGAGGAGGACUCAGCUCACUUACCCCCCCACCACUCCUAAUAUAGUUCUGGCACUAUUUUUGGAAGCUGUAUUUUAACGAGCACCCCAGGUGAUUCUGAUGUAGUUGGCCUGCCAGCCACACUUAGUGCCUAGUGAGAGCUGGUGGCGACACCAAAGUGCCCAUGGCCCAUUUCUGAAGCCCCUGGUUCUGCUUGGCUUCUGGACUUGCUGGUAGGCCCUGUCCCUACCUGUGGAGGCUCAGAAAGGCUGGGCACAGGGGUCACACAGACAAGCACACUGUUCUGGGAUUGUUGGGGACGGAACUGCCUUGCCCCGUCAUCUUGCUUCCCCUUCUCAUCUCAUGUCACCUUCUGCCCCCAGUUGCAUCAUUAGGAUGAGCAGAUUUCUCCUUUAGGGCCUGACACAGCCCUAGCAGACAGCUCAAUGUCUGACUUCUAAUAAUCAAGGAGUGGUGUAUUCAUACAAUGGACCACACAAAAUGCACAAGCUAAAAUGAACCUAACCACGCAGAUGAAUCUCACAGGUGUGCUGGGUGGAAGACAUCAGGCACAUAAGAAUACAUAUGGUUUGAGUCCCCUUAUGUAAAAUGUAAAGCCACGCAAACCAAGAAAAACAAAUCAACAUAAAAACAUAACAAACAAAAUAGGCCAAAAUCAUCUACUGGGAUAGAAGUCAAGAGGGGUUACUUUUGGGGGUGAGAGCGGCUAUGGAGGGGUGCAUGAGGGGCUGCUGAUGCUUUUUGGUGUGUGUGCUGUUUAUGUGGGUAAUGUUCACUUUGUAUUUGAGCGGUACCCUUUUCAUUUGUGCACCUUUUCGAAUGUGUCUAUUUCCUUAUAAAUGUUACCUCCCUUACAGGAAUGAAGACAAACCAAGCAGCUCUCCUUCCUCCCUCCUAAACUCCCCCUUAAACAAGCCCUUCCCGGAAUAGGACCAGGCAGGCUGAGGAGGCCAGAAACAUCCCUGUGUGGUAGACUGGGGUUGGGGAGGUGGGUUUGGGGCUGGAGCCCAGAGACCUGAUCCUGCCAGUCUUGAUGUAUUCCAGAGUUCCAGCCUGGUGCCCCACAGAGCAAAGCUGCCUGCUGGGUCAAGGAAGUGGCUGGAAAUGAGGCCCAAGCAUGUUACAUGGGAAGGAUGACAAGAUACUCGCCAGCCAGGACCCAUGUGCCUUCUUCCCCACCUGCUCACAGCCAAGCUGUCCAGGGAGAAGGUGGUGUAUGGGCCCCCAGUCCGCCUCCACAGGCUGCUGGCCAACCUAGUGUAAAUAUUAUUACACUCCUACGCAUCUGAAGGACGUUAAUUAUUAAAACACAUGCCACCCAGGGUAGUGCACUGUAAUUAGGUUCAAAUUAAAUUAGCAUCCUCUUGUAAUUAGGACAUCAAUAACCACUCUUGAGGCACCAGCUUUCUAGCCCAUCCCCAUUGCUUCCCAAUAUGGGCUAAUGCAAAAAACGGGGUCCACUCUCUCCCCAGGACGCAAAAAUAAUCAAACCAAUAAAUAAAAUGGAGGCAGUCACGGGAGCCCUUCUCUCCACUGCCCGCCUUCGCUACUAAUCCUGUCCACCAGCAAGAGGAGGGAGAUGAGGUCGCUGCGGAGGAGUCUCAGCCACCAAUACUUCCCUGGUGGCUUUCCCAACCACCUGGGCCAGGGCCUCUGUCCCUUAAAGUCCCAGGGCACCACCCACUGCUGUGGCUUGUUAUAGAUAGCAUGCAUCUGCUGCCUCCUCGAGAGCCCAGAGAGAUGACCUUGGCACUCACUGGACCCAACACUGUGCUUGGCACUAUCUGGGUCUUAAUCCCUGCUUGGAGGAACAGAACCCACAAUCCUGAGGCCAAGGUGCAAUUUUUAUAACUCAGGGGGAGUGGGAGGAACCUGUGGAGAGCUUUUUCUGGCUACUGGUGCAAGGGCUGGUGCUGAGUGGACAGCUACAGAUGAAAAUAGAACAUGCCAAUGUGUGCGCACUCUGUGAGUGCCUCCUUCAAAUCUGCACCCUUGGCGCGUGGCUUGCCUCACCCUGGUCCCAGCCCUAUCCAGGUCACACCUCAGGAACUUGGCAGAUGUGAUACCGAGAGAAACACCAAGUUGGGGUCAAAACCAGACAAGCUGCGGUAGCGCCUUCCUGCCUGGUGACUGAUCUGACCUUUGUCUCAACCAGCCUUGGCAGAGAAAAAACUCAGAAGUGGGAAGGCUCAGGCAUAAUUUCAAUUGGAAAACUAAGGAGGGUUUAUCCUUGGGUGCAGAUGUAACCAAGGCAACUGUGAAGACCGUGAGAUGAUUUCAGACCCUUUCACAAAAGAGUGGGCUGGCAUCUUGCCCUCUGCCGAUUGUGUUCACUGUGAAUACACAUCGCACCCUACCAGAAGCACCUUGGAGGUCAAGAAAUAAGUGAGAUGGGCAUUCUCUUCUUGAUGGAUAAAAAUAAAAUCAGAGACCAUGGUGAGAGUGUGCUUCUCUGCUGGGGGCAGGACAGCUUCUCCAGGAGUGGGGAUGAUGAAGAGAUUCACACCAAGUCAUCAUCCACACCCCUCCUGACUUCCUGGGCCCCCUAAGGGGCUGCAUGUAGUCAAGGGAAGCACAGUUUACUGGACCAUAAAGGGUCUGAUUCAGACAGUGUAAGCGCUUGUUCUGGCUAAGCCGGAGGCGCUGCAAGUAGAAACUGUGAGUCCCCACGAGGACCAAGGGAAACUAGUGUUUCUGGAGUUGAACUGACUCAACAUUUCUCCCCAUGGCCCCUCCCUGGCUCUUCCUACCCUCACCUAACUAUAGCGCACCUUGAGUAUAAGCAGCACACAUGAGAACCCCGUAAGAGCCCUGGCCAGAACAAGUGUGUGUUACGGCAGGACCUCCAGCUGAGGAAUGAGAUCCAGCCAGCCAGGCCCUACCACCUCCACUGACUGUCCCUGUAGCCCCCAAGAUCAAAGGGUCAAUUUUAUAUGGCAGCUUGGAGCAUCACCCCAGAUCAGAAUGUUGGUGGGAUGUGGGGCUGUCAGAAAGACGUGCCACCAAGUUUCACCAAAGUAUGUGCCAGGGAGGGGCGGGGGCACACAGGUAAUGCCGUCAGUGGAGGAAUAAUGAGGCGCUGGACACCAUGGGUGUGGGGAGUGGUGACUCUCACACUUGACUUUCUCUCCCCGGGACUCCUGGCCUCACACCACCAUGGCUCCUCCCUCAUGGGCUACACGCAGCCUGAGGAUUCUGAGCUCCAGGGCCAGUUCUACCUGAGGACUUUUGGGGAGAGCUUAUCAAGUCAGACAUGAGCAAUGGCUAACCUGGAGCAGACAGGCCUCUCACCUGGGACCUGGGUCCCUCUUGGAGAAGCCGGCCCUCCUAGCUCUGUUCUCCGGAGAGGAACCAGGGGGCCUGCGUUCUAACCCACUCUAUCCCAGACACAGCAGGAAUUAGGGAAAUCACCUCAUUGCUCUCAGCUGAUUCCUUUUGAAUCCUUUCUUGGGGAUCUGGCAGGGUCUGCCUAAGGCCAGACCCAGCAAUUCACAGUGGGUAAAUUGUCCUGGGUGCUGCUGGCCAAGCUGCUGUAACUCUCUAAGGUCCUUGAAAACAGCCAUGUGCAAGAAGUCAAAAAAGACCUGUAGCCUCCUGCAUGAUGGCCAUGGUGCCAAGUGGUGCCCACUGGGUCCAGGAGUUGCUUGCUCAGACUCUGAAGAUCUGCCUUGCUUUCCCCAGCUGGCUCUAUUUCUAGGGAGAAUGUCCAGGCAUUUGGAUGACUAUCUUGGGGGUCAUUCAAGUGUCCAGGUCUCCUCCUGGGUGAAGCUGCCAAGACUCCAUGCUCUGGACCACACUGUGAUCAAUAAGGGCUGCAGACAGCACGUACUAUUUUAUUGGGCCUCAAAAGCUUUAAAUACAGAAUGGG